CUUGCACAUGGGUUAGUCGAUC
rnacentral:snRNA from 1 species